rnacentral:rRNA from 1 species
AUACGUAGGGUGCAAGCGUUAAUCGGAAUUACUGGGCGUAAAGCGUGCGCAGGCGGUUUUGUCAAACAGAGGGGGAAUCCCCGGGCUCCACCUGGGAACUGCCUUUUUUACUUCAAGGCUAGAGUACGGGAGCGGGGGAGUGGAUUUCUCGUGUAGCCGGGAAAGGCGUAGAUAAGCGGAGGAACACCGAUGGCGAAGGCAAUCCCCUGGGGCUGGAAUGAGGCGCAGGCACGAAAGCGUGGGGAGCAAAAAGGAUUAGAUACCCUGGUAGUCCACGCCCUAAACGAGGUAAACGGGUGGGUGGGGCUUCAUUGACUCAGUAACGAAGCUAACGCGUGAAGUGGACCGCCUGGGGAGUACGGCCGCAAGGUUGAAACUCAAAGGAAUUGACGGGG